CUUGCAUACAUGUCGAAAGAACAAGUUUGAUCCGGUCAACCAGUCUGCUUCUGUGGAUUAUCCCUUAGUUUAAGGGUGGAGGCUAUUUUGGUCAGCUGUCUGGUUGUAACUAGCACAGACAUAAUGGGCAGACUUCAUCAAUGUGUAGCACACCGUUCUCUCAACCAAAACUUGAGGCAAAAGGCAGAUUUCUCCACCUAGCGUAUUCCUUGAAUUCUUUUGCUGGAAGGAUACAAUUGGUACUGGGACUCCUAUGUGCUAACCCAACCAUGAGAAACCCAUUUUGGAGGUUAGUAGAAGUGACAGAGAAGUUAAAAAGGCAUUUUGUUCUGCGGAUGGAUAUUUGGAAUUCUCUUCAGCCCUGGGUAGGAAGAACUGCUCUCACAUAUUGGGGGCAAUUUUUGGAAAAUGUACUAUAUGCCAUAUCUGGGUUGUGUGCAAGGACACCUCCACAUGCUAACAGCACUGACCUGCAGAAGAUAUCAGGUCCUAAGAGCGACCUCUUAAAGCCAUUUCUGGCUAAGCCUUUGUACUCAUUUUUGAGCACUUUUGAUAUUGGCAGAGGCACUUUUAUUUCACAAUAGGCAGAGGACUGUUUGCCCAAAGAAAAAAACAGACCAAUUCUUUCACAAACCUCCAUUCUCAGUGCCGCCUUCCAAAUUUUGGACAAAAUGUUUAGUAAACUGUCCAAUCUGCUCUAGAGCAGCGGGUUCUUUUGCUCAAUGAUGAAAUCUCUGAGUAAGUGUUGAAAAAUGCCACCCAACCAACUUGGUGGCAUUUCAAGGCAUGUGCUG
rnacentral:lncRNA from 1 species